GCCUGGGUGGCUCAGUUGGUUGAGUGUCUGACUUCGGCUCAGGUCAUGAUCUCACAGUUUGUGAGUUCGAGCCCCACGUCGGGCU
rfam:Felis catus isolate Cinnamon breed Abyssinian chromosome X, whole genome shotgun sequence.